rnacentral:lncRNA from 1 species
AGGUUAUGGCUGACUAUUCCUAGAAAGCAUGAUGGGAUGGCCUAUCAGAUGGGGUGUCAUAGAUUUGUAUAUAUUCAGUUAUAAUUAACAUUAGGGGUAUCAUGAUUGAACUCUUCAUUUACAUAGAAUUCUUUAUAGAAAGAGUUGUCAAAUAACUAAGUGCCCCUGUAUACAUGUACGCAGUUGUUCACCUGUUCAGCAAAUACUGAGCACAGAGAGCAAGCCAGGUUCUGCCUUGGUCCCUGGAGUUUAGGACACAUCAAAGCCCUCAGUCUCACACGCUAUGUUCUCAUAAGGGUGACAAACCAUUAGCAAAGAAAGGAACAAAUAAACAUGAUCAUUCCAGAUAAGGCUAAGUGCCUUGAAGAAAAUGUAACAGGAUGCUAUGGGGAGGACCAGAGGGGGUGUGGACAGGAUGGCUAAGAAAGGGGUCUCUUGAGGAAAUAAAGUGAAUUCUGUCAUUUAAAUAACAAGAGGGAGCUAUCAGCACAGUAGGGAAAGAGGAGAGCACUCCCCCUAAAGGGAAUUAGCUGAGGUACAGGGAAGAGCUGGUGCAAAUGGCUUGAGGCAGGGAAGAACUUUGCAAGAUCAGCGGGCAGGAAGAAAGCCCAGGUGACUGAAAUAGUACUGUUGUCUCCAUUUAACAAAUGUAGAGUGUGGAGAUGCCCAGACCUGCCCAAGGUUGUGAUUGAGGUGGCAUCAAGAAUUGAACUCACAGUGGACACAUCUCUCCUUUAGUCACAACAUGUUUGCUGCUUUGGGAAAGCUUGGUAUAUCCUGUUUUUAUUGUGACUUGGAAAGUCGAACAGUCAGAAGUAAUAUCACCAGCCCCAUGCAUCCUUCACACAGCUUCUCCAAUUAUCAACUUAUGGCCAGUCUUAUUUCAUUUGUUCUUUUGUCUUUAAUUUUUCAGUUUUCAAUGCUUUGAUUCAACACAGCAACAAUUAUUAAGUAGAACUAUAUGGGGUUCCCAUUGUGGCUCAGUGGUAUGGAACCUACCUAGUAUCCACGAGGAGGCGGGGUUUGAUCCCUGACCUUGCUCAGUGGAUUAAGGAUCCAGCAUUACCAUGAGCUGUGGUGUAGGUCACAGAUGCAGCUCAGAUCCCACAUUGCUGAGGCUGUGGUGUAGUCCAGCAGCUGCAGCUCCAAUUUGACCCCUAGCCUGGGAACCUCCAUAUGCCAUAGUACAGCCCUAAAAUGCAAAAAAAGAAAUAAGUAGAAUUAUAUGCUAGUUAUUGUAUUCUGUGAGCAUAUAAAAGUGAAUAAACUCAAGUCUUUCCUUAUCUUCUCACAAUCUAAAAGGGGAUGCAGGAGUUCCCAUCAUGGCUCAGCAGUUAAUGAACCCGACUAGUAUCUAUGAGGUUGCGGGUUUGAUCUCUGGCCUCGCUCAGUGCGUUAAGGAUCCAGCGUUGCCCUGAGCUAUGGUGUAGGUCACAGACCCAGAUCCCAUGUUGCUCUGGCUGUGGCAUAGGCCAGCAGCAGCAGCUCCAACUUGACCCCUAGCCUGGGAACCUCCAUAUGCCCCGGGUGUGGCCCUAAAAAGACAAAAAAAAAAAAAAAGUUCCAAAAAAAUAAAAAGGGAGUUCCUGUCCCACAGCAAUACUGGAUCCGAGCUGCAUCUGCGACCUACACCACAGCUCUUGGCAAUACCGGAUCCUUAACGCACUGAGAGAGGCCAGGGAUCGAACCCGCAACCUCAUGGUUCCUAGUCAGAUUCUUUUCCACUGCGCCAAGAUGGGAACUCCAGAAGAGGAAAUAAUUAAUGCUUUCCUGAGAGGUGGAGAAAAAGAAGUUUGGGGAACUCUGGGAAUAAGAUUGUAAGAAGUAGAGAUGGGAAGCAAGAUAUGAGUAAGGAAAAGUGGAGAGCAUUUGGGGGCAAAUGAUUAGAACUCAGGGUGUUUGGAGAGUAGUGAUGGAGUUAGAAACAUGGUUUGGGCCAUAUCCUGAAAUGCCUCAAUCAGCACUCUAAGAAACUUAAAUUUUAUUUUGUCGGGAGUGGGGAACAGUGCAAUGAUAUUAAAAAGAACUGGGAUAAGGAGUUCCCACCAUGGUUUAGUGGAUUGAGAACCCGACUAGUAUCCAUGAGGAUGCAGGUUCAAUUCCUGGCCUUACUCAGUGGGUUAAGGAUCCAGCAUUGCCAUGAGUUGUGGUGUAGGUUGCAGUUAUGGCUCAGAUCUGGCAUUGCCAUGGCUGUGCUGUAGGCUGGCAGCUGCAGCUCCAAUUCAAGCCCUAACCUGGGAAUUUCCAUAUGCCUUAGAUGCAGCCCUUAAAAAAUAAAAUAAAAUAAAAAUAAACUGGGAUGAUUGAAUCUGUGUUUAUAAUAAUAAUGCCAUGACAGUGUAGAGCAUGGAUUUGGUCUCCAAAUCUUUGAGCAUGGGACAGGGAAACAAAUUUGGAGCCUGGGCAGAUGAACAUUAGAUUAGGCAAGACAAAGGAAAUGCUAAAUAGUUAUGUAAAUGUGGAAUCACAGAAGUAGGCUGAAGAGGUGGAUCAGAUAAGGCCUUCUGGGGAAGGUGAGUUUUGAUCUUGAACAUAAAAACGUAGGUGGAAAAUGGAGGGAGGGGAAUUGCAGAAUUAGGGAACAACGUGUUCAAAAGCUGAGGGCUACAAAAUCACAAGGAAUGUUCAGGAACUCACAAAGGGAGGGGUGGGGACGUGAAGCCAGUCUGAGUAGUGUGCUCUUUUUUGUUGUUUUUUUUUUGUUUGUUUUGGUUUGGGUUUUUGUUGUUGUUUUAGCUUUUAAACUCAUGGUUACAAUUUAUUAUAGCAAAAGGAUACAGAUUAAAAUCAGCAGAAGAGGGAGUUCCCUUCCUCAGUGGCUCAGCGGAAACGAAUCUGACCAGCAUCCAUGAGGAUGCAGGUUCCAUCCCUCGCUUCGCUCAGCUGGUUUAAGGUUCCAGCUUUGCCGUGAGCUGUGGUGUAGUUCGCAGAGGCGGCUCAGAUCUGGCAUUGCUGUGGCCAACAUCUGUAGCUCCUAUUUGACCCCUAGACUAGGAACCUCCAUGUGCCGCAGGUGUGGCCCUAAAAAGAUUAUAAAUAAAUAAAUAAAUAAAUCAGCAGAGGAGAGAGACACAUUAGGGCAGUGUCCAGGAGAGUUUUAGGCUUGAGCUUCCAGUUGUGUUCUCCCAGUAGAAUCAUAGAGACAACAUUUACUGCUCCCGGCAGUGGUGUAUGCUAGUGUGCAUGGAGUAUUGUCAACCAGAGAAACGCACAAGAGCCUUGAGGUCCAGCGUCUUUAUUGAGGGUCAAUCAUAUAGACUUAGCUACUUGGCUGUGGGACUAACCUUAGUUUCUAGCAGGAGUCAAGUUGAUCUUGCAUGGCCCAAGGCCCUCACCAUAAAUCAUGUUCUUAUCAAUGGACUAUCUGGCAUGGUCCAAGAAUAUCAGGUAAACAAGGACAUUUUUACCAAGCAGAACAUUCCAAAGGCUUAGAAGUUACCCCCCCAGGAGCCAAGGACAAGGAAAAAUAUCUUUCUUAGGGAAAGAUCAAUUGUUUAUUAAAGAGCAUGCCUCUCUACUCUCUUCCUGUAUGGGUUCCCCACACUCCAUAGUUCACCCUUUAAAGUUGUUUCACUUGAAAGGGCCUAGAUUUAUUUCAGGUCUCAGAACUGAAGUUGCCCCUGUUUUAUUCCAGGUUUUAUUUCUAGCAGGUAGCAUGCUCUUAAAGUAGUGCCAACAAAAGGUGGUUAGGGCUGGGAUAAAUUCAAAGACAGGCAGUUGAGGCAGGACUUAGACUAAUGGGAUAUGGAGAGUGAAGGAGAGAAAUAGCUGCAAAUCUGAGGUUUCUAGACUGAAAGUGUUUUCAAAGGUAGAACGUCUAAGAUGGAAAGUGUAAAGGCUGGUUCACAAGAAAAUGUAAUUUGUAUAGUUGUGCACAUGUGUGGUAUGUUGCCAUAGAACAUUUGGAAGGAAAUGUCUAGCAGGCAUUUGGAAACUCAGGCAUAGAAUAUACAUCAGCAAGAGGUGACCAGAGGCUGAAGCUCAUGAAAUAGUGACUAUUUGAUGAUGUUUUCCUUUUAUAACGACACACCAGGUAUAACCAAAUCCUUUAUCUCACUCUGCUCAAUACAGAUCAGAUUAUGACUCUUGAGAAUAGGGAUAUUUUGUGUAUUGAUCAGUCUAUAUCCCUGAUGGAUAACCAGCAUCUCUUGUAUAGGGCUGUCUCUGCUUUCCCAAAUGACAUUUAUAGGAGUAUUCUGUCAUGACAGUAAUUUAGAACAGUAAUUCAGCUGUGGAUGCAAGAGCUGCCUUUGAUCAUAAACAUUACGGUACCUUCUUCACUUCACUGAAUCCAGCGUGUGUUUCUGCCACAUCACAGAGUUUCUGUUUCUUAUUUCAGGUUCCAUCGUCCUUAAUGAAGCACGAGACUCUUUGGAAACAGACUGAUCAUCUUUGGGGGAAGCCUCAGUUCCUGAAAAUCUGAUAUUGCACUGGGAUGUGAAUGUGUGUGUUUCCGUUUAACUUGUGGUGAAGGAAGCAUGUGGAAUGUUCUCCCCACCUGUACAGCUUGGAUGGGGAUCACAAGCAAAGGGAAGGGUGCAGCGCCCCUGCUGGUCAGCAUGUGAACUGAUGGUAAGGGACACCAUAGUUACGCCCGUUCUUCUUCAUCAGGAGUUUUAAUCAAAGAUGCGCAGAAGACAAUCGCUGGUUCCCUGUUGCCAGAAAGCCAAAUUUUAGAGUGCGAGUUAAAGGAGAAUGGGGAAUGGAAUUUCUGAGUACUGGAAAGGGGUGGGGGAUUAAAAUCAGAAAGAAAGAGAAAUACUUCAUUAUGUUAAUGAAAAAAGGAAAUUGAAUCAUAGGUGUAUUUUUGAAGUAGGUUUUUAGUAGUUGAGAACUUAUAUAAGGGAUUUGGGAAUUUAAAAACCCAACGUGGAUUUCCUAAAGACCUGAUCCUAGAAGAAUAUUCCCGUUUCGCCAUGAUAUUGGUACAGUGUAGUACCAUUACUUUUUGUUGUGCCAGUGAAUCCAAUUGCCAGAAAUCAGUCCGAGUGUUUUCAUGUAUCAUUUUCCUAAAUGCAAGAGGCUUUUACUGACUCUUAAUAAGCAUGCUUACCCAAGUUUUGUUGCAUGCUUUAAGUAGCAUAGCUAUACACACUUUACAUUUUUAAAAAUACUCCUUACCUAAUGUACCAACCUUCCAUAAGGAUAGCAGGACUGGGAAUAAAGUCAGAUGGAAUGUGACCCUGUAAAUCUAUAGCAAGCUUUAGAAAUAAAUCUUUUGGGCUUUCCCUAGCUUAUCUCCCAAGUUGGAACAAUCAUCCUUAAUCUAAGGAAGAUGGUAUAGACAAUCAUGGCACCUUUAUAAAAAGUCUGAAUCCAAAGUUAAAACUUAGGCAAAAUGCAACUGUUCUGCCCGCAGUUAGCUCUGAAUGGGGAUGGAAAGAACUAUUUAUUUUCCAUGCUAUGUUAAGUAGGAUGGCUGCUAUUAAAAAUAAAUAAAUAAAUAAAGCCCAUGGAUUAAAAAAAAAAUACUCACCCAAAGACUUAGAACACAGAAAAAUUUUGCUAAGUUGUGAGGAAAACCUCAUUUGGUAUUUUAAGAGUCAGCAGAUUGCAUCCAUAAAUGUAGUGUUGACUUUCAAUGCAAAAGAAUCAGUGAGAUUAAAGUUAUGGGAAGAUUUCCCUAUGAGCCUGCCGUCAGUAUUGUUUACAUUAAGACACCCUCUGUUGUCAUCUUGCUGUUUUCCAUGGAGUCACAGGCAUAGCAUGGCUUCUGUUCCCAAGUACAUAGGACCACAUGUAUAUACCACCUUGCAUUUAAUUGUUCUUUCAUGAUUGUUUUGUGCCCCUUUUAUUAAAAACACAUGAGAUGUACAAUAAGCAAAGACGUAAAUAGACUUUAUUUUAUUCUGAGUUUGGACUAGAAUUUUCUGACAUGAUUCUGGUUUAUUAUAUGUAAAACUGUAACUUCCAAUUUCAACUAAAAAAGCAAACAUUUCGGAGUUGCCUUCGUGACUCAGCGGUUAACGAACCUGACUAGGAUCCAGGAGGAUAUAGGUUCAAUCCCUGGCCACACUCAGUAGGUUAGGGAUCCAGCAUUGCCUUGAGCUAUGAUGUAGGUCACAGACGUGGCUUGGAUCCCGAGUUGGUGUGGCUGUGGUGUAGGCCAGCAGCUGUAGCUCUGAUUCAACCCCUAGCCUGGGAACUUGCAUAUGCCNAAAAAAAAAAAAAAAAAAAAAAAAAAAAAAAAAAAA